rnacentral:rRNA from 1 species
CAAGGAUUCCCUCAGUAACUGCGAGUGAACAGGGAGAAGCCCAGCACCGAAGCCUGUGGUCAUUUGGCUACUAGGCAAUGUGGUGUUUAGGUCGUUCCGCGUGGGCGCUGCCUCAUUCCAAGUCCAGCAAUGAGUACGGUAAUGCUGACAUGGCCCAGAGAGGGUGAAAGGCCCGUGGGAGUGAGGUCGCAGAAAUGCCAGUGCCUUCCUGGAUAGACCUUAGAGUCGGGUUGUUUGUGAAUGCAGCCCAAAGUGGGUGGUAAACUCCAUCCAAGGCUAAAUACUAACACGAGUCCGAUAGCGAACAAGUACCGUGAGGGAAAGUUGAAAAGUACUUUGAAGAGAGAGUAAACAGUGCGUGAAACCGCUCAGAGGUAAACGGGUGGAGUUGAACUGUGAUCUCUGUGGAUUUAGCUGAUGAGCAUGGUUUGAGCUUGGUCAAAUUGGUUGUACCCAGGAAUCUGCUUAGCCGCAGGUCUUCGCCUUCGGGUGAGGAUGCGCGAUGCACUCAUCAUGUGCUGCGCGUUCCAGUUUUUUCGUGCCAGCUCGUCAGUGCACUUUCGCAGAGUGUUCACCACGACCGGUAUUGUUGUCUGGCUGUUGUGGUUAAACCGGCCUUUCUUAGUCCUUGUGGCUUUGGAUUGUCGGGAUGGCAGGUAGCUCAAUUGCUGUGCCUGUGGUUCGCUGCAGGUUUCGGCUCUCGGGUGUUAUCAGCUGACCGCAUCGGUUCUGUGCAGUAUAUCGGAGACGGCGGCUUGUGGUACAUGGCGUGCGUGCUUGUUAGUUGGCGUGUCCGGGUUCGGUUGUUAUGUUGCUUGUGUUUACAGGCCUGAUGAUAUCCCGGGUUCGUUCGGCUGGCAGUUGCGUGCGCAGUGCUUUCC